rnacentral:rRNA from 1 species
GAGUAACACGUAGGUAAUCUGCCUUCAGGACUGACACAACUCGUCGAAAGACGGGCUAAUAUCAGAUAAUGCAGCGGCUCCGCAUGGAGACAGUUGUUAAAGUACAAGCGCCUGAAGAUGAGCCUGCGGUCCAUUAGCUAGUUGGUAGAGUAACAGCCUACCAAGGCAACGAUGGAUAGCUGGGUCCUGAGAGGAUGAUCAGCCACACUGGAACUGAGACACGGUCCAGACUCCUACGGGAGGCAGCAGUAAGGAAUAUUGCUCAAUGGCCGAAAGGCUGAAGCAGCAACGCCGCGUGAAGGAUGAAUGGCCUUUGGCCUGUAAACUUCUGUAAAAAGGGAAAAACAGUCAGGUAUAUCCUGAUUUGAUUGUACCUUUGAAGUAAGCCCCGGCUAACUACGUG